CCUACGGGUGGCAGCAGUGGGGAAUAUUGGACAAUGGGCGAAAGCCUGAUCCAGCCAUGCCGCGUGUGUGAAGAAGGCCUUCGGGUUGUAAAGCACUUUCAGUGGGGAAGAAAGCCUUGGGGCUAAUACCCUCGAGGAAGGACAUCACCCACAGAAGAAGCACCGGCUAACUCCGUGCCAGCAGCCGCGGUAAUACGGAGGGUGCGAGCGUUAAUCGGAAUUACUGGGCGUAAAGCGCGCGUAGGCGGUCUGAUAAGCCGGUUGUGAAAGCCCCGGGCUCAACCUGGGAACGGCAUCCGGAAAUGUCACGGUAGAGGGCAGGAAAGGAAGGUAGAAUUCCCGGGGGAGCGGGGAAAUGCGUAGAGAUCGGGAGGAAUACCAGUGGCGAAGGCGGCCUUCUGGACUGACACUGACGCUGAGGUGCGAAAGCGUGGGGAGCAAACAGGAUUAGAUACCCCAGUAGUC
rnacentral:rRNA from 1 species